rnacentral:rRNA from 1 species
GACGUAGGGCGCGAGCGUUGUCCGGAUUUAUUGGGCGUAAAGAGCUCGUAGGCGGCUCGUUGCGUCGGCUGUGAAAGCCCGCGGCUCAACUGUGGGCUUGCAGCUGAUACGGGCGGGCUGGAGUUCGGUAGGGGAGACUGGAAUUCCUGGUGUAGCGGUGAAAUGCGCAGAUAUCAGGAGGAACACCGGUGGCGAAGGCGGGUCUCUGGGCCGAUACUGACGCUGAGGAGCGAAAGCGUGGGGAGCGAACAGG